rnacentral:rRNA from 1 species
UACGUAGGUGGCAAGCGUUGUCCGGAUUUACUGGGUGUAAAGGGAGCGUAGACGGCGGUGCAAGCCAGAUGUGAAAGCCCGGGGCUCAACCCCGGGACUGCAUUUGGAACUGUGCUGCUAGAGUGUCGGAGAGGCAGGCGGAAUUCCUAGUGUAGCGGUGAAAUGCGUAGAUAUUAGGAGGAACACCAGUGGCGAAGGCGGCCUGCUGGACGAUGACUGACGUUGAGGCUCGAAAGCGUGGGGAGCAAACAGG